rnacentral:lncRNA from 1 species
GGGCUCCCAGGUUCAGGAGCUCUGCUGGAGAAAAUCACAGCCCACGCAGAUUGGCGCUACUACAAAGUCAUCUGCAGCCUCAGCGGGCUGCUGAGCAGCCUGCUCUCACAGGCUGGGAGCUGGGCAUUUUAUUCUCCAUGUGAUUGAUGCCGGCACAACUUGGCACACAAUGCGCCCGCCAUUCAUGGUGACUGAGAAGGGUUGUCUGGACCAAACGGAUGAGUCGCAUACUCAGGUGACUUCUUGUGAACUCCACCCCACCCCCAAUGAAUAAAGGGACCAAUCACUGGAGACCUGACAUGGUGAUUUUCUUUGAAGAAAAAGACGGCAACUUCCAGAAAUGAGUACUGUGGUUUAGAAAGAAAGCACCUGACCUUGUGGCGAGAGUUCAUCUUGUUCUGUUCUACUUAAAAAGAAAUACAGAAGAUGAAGAAAGAAGGAAAAAAAUAUUCCACUGGGUGAUGGUGAUCCAUGUCUUUAAUCGCAGCACUCAGGAGGCAGAGGCAGGUGGAUCCCUGAGUUCGAGGCCAGCCUGGUCUCCAGAGCAAGUUCCAGGACAGCCAGGGCUACACAGAGGAACCCUAUAUUGAAAAAAACAAACAAAACAAAACAAAAAUAUAAACCAGUUUCCUUAGACUUAGAGAAUUCCAGUCUCUCUGCGGAUCCUGAGCCCUCUGAGGGGCCUAACAAGAACUUUGCAGACAUUCUUUGCCUGCUAAAGAAACCCUGACUACACAGCUGGUUCCUUCACCAGGGCUCCGAGUUUUUCUACCAAUUCCUUUCUACUCCUCCUUUGUGACUUUGCUUCAUGUCCAUUAGAAGGGGAAAGAGAGAUAAUUUCUGCUUCUUCGAGAGAGGCCAAGAUGAAGCCAAACUUCUAAAAAGAUGGGGACUCAUUAUUUAAUAUAAUUUCAGGAUUAGCCUUGGGUAUUUCAGUGGAGGGGCUAAAGGAAAGGCUCUCUCAAACGAGAUUCAUUUCUACCUCCCACCAAAGGAGAAGGGAGACAAAUACUGGCUCAGUGGGGGUUCAGGUUGCAGCUUAAUUCCUCAUCUGCCCAGAGAAACAACCCACAGGGGGAAAAAAAGGAGGCAUCAGGCUUGCUGGUAAACUCCCCUACCUCUGAGUCAUCCUGGUGCCCAAAUGUUUAAAUGAUGUUUAAAAGAGAAAUUCAGAAACACA